UACGAAGGGGGCUAGCGUUGCUCGGAAUUACUGGGCGUAAAGCGCACGUAGGCGGCUUCUUAAGUCGGUGGUGAAAUCCUGGAGCUCAACUCCAGAACUGCCUUCGAUACUGGGAAGCCCGAGUCCGGGAGAGGUGAGUGGAACUGCGAGUGUAGAGGUGAAAUUCGUAGAUAUUCGCAAGAACACCAGUGGCGAAGGCGGCUCACUGGCCCGGUACUGACGCUGAGGUGCGAAAGCGUGGGGAGCAAACAGG
rnacentral:rRNA from 1 species